UCCUCCAGAUUCAAACCUGGAUCCCAGCAGGGGAGGGACAUUUGACCAGGGAGGCAGCCUUCUGCCCUUCGCAUUUUAUCUCCCGGUCACCUGUCUCCCUUUGUUCAGGAACCAACAAAAGGCAAAUCCCGAUUCAUGAAGGAGACCGAAACUUGACAUUUGCUUUUCUUUGAGGCCACAGUUGAGGAGUCAAACAAGCACCGUCAGGUGAAAAUGUCAAGGUAAUUGAGGGCUGGAGUGGAGAAGAAGGAUCAGAGGAAAAGCAAACAGCCAGACAAGUUAUGGAUGCAUCACAGAAUUUCAGACCUAGAAGGAAACAGAAAGCUCAUCCAAUUCAGUCUGCUCGUUUCAUAGAGUUGGGCAAUGAGGCUCAGAGAGGCCCAGAUAAGAGGCUCCUCUGAUUGCCAGACCUGAGCCACUGUGUGCAUCCCUUACUCCUGAGUCAGGCCCUGUAGUCAUGCAGGCUUUCUUCAAAAACUGUUCAUCAGGACCAGCACUCAUGACUAACCAUGAGAUGAAGCCGAUGGUGAAGUUGAUCUGACUCACCUCAUCUACCAGGCCUGUCAGCUCCACGCUGAAGGGGGGGAUUUUUGCCACCAAUUCCCAGGAUGGGAAAAGACAAAGAAUUAGAGAAGUAAGCAUUUACAUAUGGGUGGCUCUGUGCUGUGUCUCAAACCACCACCUUUCCACCGUUUGUCAGCUCCCCAAGCCUGCUUGGCCAAUUCUCAGGCUAAAAGGAUGGAGUUGGUUCUGCGUUCCUCCCACCCUCAGAGAAUCUGCAAGACCCAAGUGCCGCAUUGGCUAAAGGCCCCUCCCCAUCCUUACAAGCGCAGAUGUGAACAUUGCUUCCAAAUAUGCCGUCCAAGGGAUGGGGUCAUUUAUGGUUGUAAAUGAUCAAAGAAGCCGUCAAAAUAUGCCUUCAUUUAUUCAUUCUUUGUUCAACCAUUCACAACACAGGGGUGUAGUGGAUUGUCUGUGGGUGUGGAGUCAGAAAGUCCACAGUCAGAAUCUUAGCUCCACCACUUCCCAGUUUAAUAUCUGAUCCUGGGAAUCAGUAUCAUCACCUGUAAAAAUUAGGAAAAUAAUACCAACUUCCUAAGUUUGCUGUAAAGAUUGGGUAAGAUAAGGCAGGCAAAGUACCCAGCACAAAGUCGCCGCUCAGUAGAACUAAGUGCCACGGAAUUCCAACAGGAUGACAUCAGUUAGCGGUUUGCAACAGAUAAAGUUCCAGACAAUAAAUUGUAUGUAA